rnacentral:rRNA from 1 species
AUGGAUAAUGUGUUCCCUGGAGUAGAGCAUAGGGAAUGCCUGCGUCACCUUGCUGCAAAUUUCAUGAAGAAAUUCAAAGGAAAGGUGUAUACUGACAAUUUAUGGCCAGCAUCUUUGACAUGCAGUGUGAAGAAGCACAACUACCACUUGAGGCAGUUAUACAUGAAUCCCAAAGUGAAAGAAUACUUGGAAACACACCACUCCAAGUUAUGGGCCAGAAGCCAAUUCAGUGAAGUGAGCAAAGUUGACUAUGUGCACAAUAAUCUAGCAGAGUCUUUCAACUCAACGAUCCGGAAACUA